GACGAACGCUGGCGGCGUGCUUAACACAUGCAAGUCGAACGGAAAGGCCCUGCUUUUGUGGGGUGCUCGAGUGGCGAACGGGUGAGUAACACGUGAGUAACCUGCCCUUGACUUUGGGAUAACUUCAGGAAACUGGGGCUAAUACCGGAUAGGAGCUCCUGCUGCAUGGUGGGGGUUGGAAAGUUUCGGCGGUUGGGGAUGGACUCGCGGCUUAUCAGCUUGUUGGUGGGGUAGUGGCUUACCAAGGCUUUGACGGGUAGCCGGCCUGGGAGGGUGGCCGGCCACAAUGGGACUGCGAGACGGACCAGACGCCAACGGGAGGCAGCAGUGGGGAGUCUUGCGCAAUGGGCGGAAGCCAGAUGCGGCAGCGUCGCGUGCGGGAUGACGGCUUUCGGGGUGUAAACCAAUUUGGCCUGAGACGAAGCGUGAGUGACGGUAAUGGGUAAAGAAGCACCGGCUAACUACGUG
rnacentral:rRNA from 1 species